rnacentral:lncRNA from 1 species
ACAUAUAGAAAGUGAUAAGGUUGGAAGAUGUGGGGGGUGAAGAUAUGUGAAAGAGAUUGCUCCAUGAGAUUUCCAGGCCUCUAUUUGCCACAACUUUCAGAAUGAGAUACUCCAGCUCGUACGUGGAGAACAAUAAUGCUCAUACUUUCGGAUAUGCAACUUUGUGGUUUCUAUAAUUUAACCACUACGUGUGUCUCUUUCUACCAUUCUGCUCUUUUUGAUAUCAUGCCAAUUUAAAGAUUAAAAGAUAUAUUGGUGUUUGAAUAUGUUCUAUAUAGAUUUUGCUGCAUGGUAACAUAUAUCUUGCUUGUUUCAUUUGCUUGCAAUAGUCCCGGUGUGUGUUUGCUGUACAUACCAUUCAAGGACGAGAAAAUUGAAGAAAUCUCUUGGAACAACCAAAACAAUCGAGGAACUAAAAUAGCAGGUUUUAGCUGUCUAAUUCAAUAAUAUUAUUUAUUAAAAAGAGAAGGGUCAAUUACAUAUAAAUCCACUUUGAGACAUUUUUUCCCACAUACAUCCACCCCAACAUUUUUACCCACAUAAGUCCACCCAAGUCUAAAUAAAGUUUUGUAUUAAGUAUUAAAGUUCAACAUAAUUACAGACUGCCAUCCAACAAAAAAAAUUAGAUUUUCUCCUUUAUAUUUACAAGAAUGCCACUAGUAUAAAAAGUCAACAACCACUCUCAUUUCGGAACAGUCUCCGGCGGACCUCCGGCGAGAUUUCCAGCGGACCUCCGGCGAGGUUUCCAGCGAAGUUUCCGGCCGACCUCCGACGAGAUUUCCGACUGACCUCCGGCGAGGUUUCCGGCCGACCUCCGACGAUGACAAAAAUUACUACUACCAGCUAAAAAAGCUACUACCACCAGCUAUAAAAGCUACUACCAUCGCCUACAAAAGCUACUACAAAAGUUUUUGACCGACCUCCGGCGAGAUUUCCGAUCGACCUCCGACGAGGUUUCCGGCCGACCUCCGACGAUGACAAAAAUUACUACUACAAGCUAAAAAAGCUACUACCACCAGCUAUAAAAGCUACUACCACCGCCUACAAAAGCUACUACUGUGAGGUUUCUGAUGAAAACAAAAGCUACUACCACCAGCCACAAAAACUACUACCNNNNN